rnacentral:tRNA from 1 species
AAAAAGAUAAGCUAAUAAAGCUAAUGGGUUCAUACCCCGUAUAUAAAGGUUUAAAUCCUUUUCUUUUUA